GCACCGCUGAGGAGUCCCACAAUAGGACAAAACAGCCGUCCAGUAC
rnacentral:hammerhead_ribozyme from 1 species